UUUCGCAAGAAGUACUUCCUGACCUUUUAUGUCUGCGGCGCACAGACCACGCGCAGACCUUUGGGUCUGCACCGUGUUUGUUUUUUGGAAGAGAUUUCACUAAAAAAACUCUUCUAGAGGUCUUCCUCGUGCAAAUCUGGACCAACCUCUUCAAAACUCUUCAAAACACUUCUCUCUUUCAAGGCCCAAAACCCUAACACCCAUCUCACUUCUCCAGCGACACCUCACCUCCUCCGCCACCCCCUCCACCUCCGCCGCCCUUCCACCGUCGUUCACCCCCUCCAACCGUUCAACCUUCUCCAUCGUUCACCCCCUCCAGCCGUUCAACCUUCUCCGCCACCCCCUCCACCUCUGCCGCCCCUCCCCUCCCCGCCGUCGCUGCCUUCAAAGGGAUCUUACAUUGAUCUUACAUUCAAAGGGAUCCUAAAACUGCUGUUGUAUCUGCCUGAACACAAACCAAACAGAAUAUACACACAAAAUCAAGAAAACCCAACUUCAGUUAUGCUAAAAGAGCCCAAAUUAAAGUGCGAAAAGUGAGUAAAGAUUCAAUUUUGACAAGUGGGUUUGUGAAAUUGACCUUUUUUAUGGAAUUGUUUGGAAGUUAAAAACAGUCUUCUUGUUGUAGACUGCAGAGGUUUGGUCUACCUCUUCUGCUACAGAUGUCUGCAGAUGUGGUCCGCAGACUGUAGACGUUUUACCUCUGAAACAAUAAACAACACCUUAUAGUAGGCGUCGUUAAGAUGGUUGUGUAUAUGUUGUAUAAAAACUAGCAAAAGGCUAGCAAUAAACAAUAGCUAAUUGAAUAAAAAUGCAUGGUUCGAGCUAUUAUACAAUUCAAUAAUUCAUCUUUCAAUUCAAAAAGCUAUUAAACAUUA